AGCGCGGUGGAGCAGUCAGGCAGCUCGCCGGACUCAUAACCCGGAGAUCGUAGGUCCAAAUCCUACCCGCGCAA
rnacentral:tRNA from 1 species